CGCAGCCGCGGUAAUUCCAGCUCCAAUAGCGUAUAUUAAAGUUGUUGCAGUUAAAAAGCUCGUAGUUGAAUUUCGGGGUUAGUAGGUUGGUCAUGCCUCUGGUAUGUACUGGUCUCACUGAUUCCUCCUUCCUGAUGAAUCUUAAUGCCAUUUAUUUGGUGUUUUGGGGAAUUUGGACUGUUACUUUGAAAAAUUAGAGUGUUUAAAGCAAGCUAACGCUUGAAUACAUUAGCAUGGAAUAAUGAAAUAGGACGUUCGAUCCUAUUUUGUUGGUUUCUAGGAUUGACGUAAUGAUUAAUAGGGAUAGUUGGGGGCAUUAGUAUUCAAUUGUCAGAGGUGAAAUUCUUGGAUUUAUUGAAGACUAACUACUGCGAAAGCAUUUGCCAAGGAUGUUUUCAUUAAUCAAGAACGAAAGUUAGGGGAUCGAAGACGAUCAGAUACCGUCGUAGUCUUAACCAUAAACUAUGCCGACUAGGGAUCGGAUGAUGUUAAUUUUUUAAUGUACUCA
rnacentral:rRNA from 1 species